GGGGAUGACGUCAAGUCAUCAUGGCCCUUACGGCCAGGGCUACACACGUGCUACAAUGGCGCGUACAGAGGGCUGCAAGCUAGCGAUAGUGAGCGAAUCCCAAAAAGCGCGUCGUAGUCCGGAUCGGAGUCUGCAACUCGACUCCGUGAAGUCGGAAUCGCUAGUAAUCGCAAAUCAGAAUGUUGCGGUGAAUACGUUCCCGGGCCUUGUACACACCGCCCGUCACACCAUGGGAGUGGGUUGCACCAGAAGUAGAUAGCUUAACCUUCGGGAGGGCGUUUACCACGGUGUGAUUCAUGACUGGGGUGAAGUCGUAACAAGGUAACCCUAGGGGAACCUGGGGUUGGAUCACCUCCUUACCUUAA
rnacentral:rRNA from 1 species